CUACGGGAGGCAGCAGUGGGGAAUAUUGCACAAUGGGGGAAACCCUGAUGCAGCAACGCCGCGUGGAGGAUGACGCAUUUCGGUGUGUAAACUCCUUUUAUAUCCCAAGAUAAUGACGGUAGGAUAUGAAUAAGCACCGGCUAACUCCGUGCCAGCAGCCGCGGUAAUACGGAGGGUGCAAGCGUUACUCGGAAUCACUGGGCGUAAAGGAUGCGUAGGCUGGAAAUCAAGUCAGGAGUGAAAUCCAACGGCUCAACCGUUGAACUGCUUCUGAAACUGGUUACCUAGAAUGUGGGAGAGGUAGAUGGAAUUAGUGGUGUAGGGGUAAAAUCCGUAGAGAUCACUAGGAAUACCGAUUGCGAAGGCGAUCUACUGGAACACUAUUGACGCUGAGGCAUGAAAGCGUGGGGAGCAAACAGGAUUAGAUACCCGGGUAGUC
rnacentral:rRNA from 1 species